GACGAACGCUGGCGGCGUGCCUAAUACAUGCAAGUUGAGCGAUGAAGGUUGGUGCUUGCACCAAUUUGAAGAGCAGCGAACGGGUGAGUAACGCGUGGGGAAUCUGCCUUUGAGCGGGGGACAACAUUUGGAAACGAAUGCUAAUACCGCAUAAUAACUUUAAACAUAAGUUUUAAGUUUGAAAGAUGCAAUUGCAUCACUCAAAGAUGAUCCCGCGUUGUAUUAGCUAGUUGGUGAGGUAAAGGCUCACCAAGGCGAUGAUACAUAGCCGACCUGAGAGGGUGAUCGGCCACAUUGGGACUGAGACACGGCCCAAACUCCUACGGGAGGCAGCAGUAGGGAAUCUUCGGCAAUGGACGAAAGUCUGACCGAGCAACGCCGCGUGAGUGAAGAAGGUUUUCGGAUCGUAAAACUCUGUUGGUAGAGAAGAACGUUGGUGAGAGUGGAAAGCUCAUCAAGUGACGGUAACUACCCAGAAAGGGACGGCUAACUACGUG
rnacentral:rRNA from 1 species